rnacentral:rRNA from 1 species
ACGGAGGGUGCAAGCGUUAAUCGGAAUUACUGGGCGUAAAGCGCGCGUAGGCGGUUUGGUAAGUUGGAUGUGAAAGCCCAGGGCUCAACCUUGGAACUGCGUUCAAAACUGCCAGGCUAGAGUACGGUAGAGGGGGGUAGAAUUCCACGUGUAGCGGUGAAAUGCGUAGAGAUGUGGAGGAAUACCAGUGGCGAAGGCGGCCCCCUGGAUCGAUACUGACGCUGAGGUGCGAAAGCGUGGGGAGCAAACAGG